rnacentral:rRNA from 1 species
UGCGUAGGUGGUCGUUUAAGUCUGUUGUGAAAGCCCUGGGCUCAACCUGGGAACUGCAGUGGAAACUGGACGACUAGAGUGUGGUAGAGGGUAGCGGAAUUCCUGGUGUAGCAGUGAAAUGCGUAGAGAUCAGGAGGAACAUCCAUGGCGAAGGCAGCUACCUGGACCAACAUUGACGCUGAGGUGCGAAAGCGUGGGGAGCAAACA